AUUGAACGCUGGCGGCAGGCCUAACACAUGCAAGUCGAGCGAGUGGCGGACGGGUGAGUAAUGUAUGGGGACUGCCCGAUAGAGGGGGCUAACUACUGGAAACGGUGGCUAAUACCGCAUACUAUCGGAUAACCCAUAUGGGAUUAGCUUGUAGGUGGGGUAAAGGCUCACCUAGGCGACGAUCUCUAGCUGGUCUGAGAGGAUGAACAGACACACUGGGACUGAGAAACGGCCCAGACUCCUACGGAGGCAGCAGUGGGGAAUAUUGCACAAUGGGGGCAAGCCUGAUGCAGCCAUGCCGCGUGUAUGAAGAAGGCCUUAGGGUUGGAAAGUACUUUCAGCGGGGAGGCGUUACCCGCAGAAGAAGCACCGGCUAACUCCGUUCCAGCAGCCGCGGUAAUUC
rnacentral:rRNA from 1 species